GAUGAAGAACGUAGCGAAAUGCGAUACUUGGUGUGAAUUGCAGAAUCCCGUGAACCAUCGAGUCUUUGAACGCAAGUUGCGCCCGAAGCCAUUAGGCCGAGGGCACGCCUGCCUGGGCGUCACACGUCGUUGCCCCCCAUCUACUCCUUCGGGAUUGCGGGGGGCGGAUGAUGGCCUCCCGUGCGCCUCGUCGCGCGGUUGGCAUAAAUGCCAAGUCCUCGGCGACGCACGCCACGACAAUCGGUGGUUGCGAAACCUCGGUUGCCCGUCGUGUGCGGUCGUCGCGCAUCGAGGGCUCGAAAAAAUUGCCGGGCUCCGGCUCGGCUUUCAACGCGACCCCAGGUCAGGCGGGGUUACCCGCUGAAUUUAAGCAUACCAAUAAGCGGAGGA
rnacentral:misc_RNA from 1 species